rnacentral:sRNA from 1 species
GCUGGGCAGGGUGGCAUGUGCCUGUAAUCCCAGCUACUUGGGAGGCUGAGGCAGGGAAUCAUUUGAACCCGGGACGUGGAGGUUGCAGUGAGCCAAGAUCAUGCUACUGCACUCCCGCCUGGGCAACAGAGUGAAAAUUUUUAUUUAUUUAUUUAUUUAUUUAUUUAUUUAUGUUUUUGAAACAGAGUUUCACUCUGUUGCCCAGGCUGGAGUGCAGUGGCAUGAUCUGGGCUCACUGCAACCUCUACCUCCUGGGUUCAAGCGAUUCUCCUGCCUCAG